rnacentral:miRNA from 1 species
AUUACAGAUGUUUGCUCGCUCA